rnacentral:rRNA from 1 species
GUCGAACGAGUUCUCGUUGAUGAUCGGUGCUUGCACCGAGAUUCAACAUGGAACGAGUGGCGGACGGGUGAGUAACACGUGGGUAACCUGCCCUUAAGUGGGGGAUAACAUUUGGAAACAGAUGCUAAUACCGCAUAGAUCCAAGAACCGCAUGGUUCUUGGCUGAAAGAUGGCGUAAGCUAUCGCUUUUGGAUGGACCCGCGGCGUAUUAGCUAGUUGGUGAGGUAAUGGCUCACCAAGGCGAUGAUAUGUAGCCGAACUGAGAGGUUGAUCGGCCACAUUGGGACUGAGACACGGCCCAAACUCCUACGGGAGGCAGCAGUAGGGAAUCUUCCACAAUGGACGCAAGUCUGAUGGAGCAACGCCGCGUGAGUGAAGAAGGCUUUCGGGUCGUAAAACUCUGUUGUUGGAGAAGAAUGGUCGGCAGAGUAACUGUUGUCGGCGUGACGGUAUCCAACCAGAAAGCCACGGCUAACUACGUGCCAGCAGCCGCGGUAAUACGUAGGUGGCAAGCGUUAUCCGGAUUUAUUGGGCGUAAAGCGAGCGCAGGCGGUUUUUUAAGUCUGAUGUGAAAGCCCUCGGCUUAACCGAGGAAGCGCAUCGGAAACUGGCAAACUUGAGUGCAGAAGAGGACAGUGGAACUCCAUGUGUAGCGGUGAAAUGCGUACAUAUAUGGAAGAACACCAGUGGCGAAUGCGGCUGUCUGGUCUGUAACUGACGCUGAGGCUCGAAAGCAUGGGUAGCGAACAGGAUUAGAUACCCUGGUAGU